rnacentral:tRNA from 1 species
ACUCCCGUUGCUAAUGUUGGUCUUAGGACUGAGCUUAUACCUCAGUAAAGCAAUCACCAGAUAAGUGAUGUAACACUGGUUCGAUUCCAGUCGGGAGUACCA